UACAGAGGAUGCAAGCGUUAUCCGGAAUGAUUGGGCGUAAAGCGUCUGUAGGUGGCUUUUUAAGUCCGCCGUCAAAUCCCAGGGCUCAACCCUGGACAGGCGGUGGAAACUACCAAGCUGGAGUACGGUAGGGGCAGAGGGAAUUUCCGGUGGAGCGGUGAAAUGCGUAGAGAUCAGGAGGAACACCGGUGGCGAAGGCGGCCUACUGGGCCAGCACUGACGCUGAGGCGCGAAAGCUCGGGGAGCGAACGGG
rnacentral:rRNA from 1 species